CACGUAGUUAGCCGUGGCUUUCUGGUUAGAUACCGUCAAGGGAUGAACAUUUUACUCUCAUCCUUGUUCUUCUCUAACAACAGAGUUUUACGAUCCGAAAACCUUCUUCACUCACGCGGCGUUGCUCGGUCAGACUUUCGUCCAUUGCCGAAGAUUCCCUACUGCUGCCUCCCGUAGGAGUCUGGGCCGUGUCUCAGUCCCAGUGUGGCCGAUCACCCUCUCAGGUCGGCUAUGCAUCGUUGCCUUGGUGAGCCGUUACCUCACCAACUAGCUAAUGCACCGCGGGUCCAUCCAUCAGUGACGCAAAAGCGCCUUUCAACUUUCUUCCAUGCGGAAAAUAGUGUUAUACGGUAUUAGCACCUGUUUCCAAGUGUUAUCCCCUUCUGAUGGGCAGGUUACCCACGUGUUACUCACCCGUUCGCCACUCUUUUCCUUUCGGUGGAGCAAGCUCCAGUGAAAGAAAAGCGUUCGACUUGCAUGUAUUAGGCACGCCGCCAGCGUCGU
rnacentral:rRNA from 1 species